UUAAACCUAACUUUAAUUUUCACCUCAUAUUUUCACUCCAAAAAAUUUUUGCCUCCCAAAUCUAUUGUCUCGCGAAAUAGCUCCAUUGUCAUGGGAAGGGUGAGCGAGCGGUGACGAUCUGGCGGUGAGAGAGACGAAGAACUCCGACGAUGACCUUCAUCUCUUCGAUCGACGAAGACAUUCAUCUCUUUAAACGGCAGCGACCUUCAUCUCUCCAAGCAUUUAAUGAUGGUUUUAUUUUGUAGGUCUGUUGAUUUACUCGUUUUGUUUAUUCACUCUUCGUUGUUUGCGAUUAUUCCUUGAUUUUGGUGAAGUUCGAGCCCAUCGGAUCUUGCUGCUACGAUCGUUGCUCUUGCUAGAAUGAUAGUGGAAGAUUCGAGAAAGAUAUUGCCUCCUCAGUAGUAUCCCUCUUGGGUCGUAUUCUCCUAGAGCCAAAAGUUGAGUUUUCUUCUCACUUUUUCCUCUUUUAAGUUUCGCUUAUGGAUGAAGGAGCAACAUAUUUUUCCUGUUCCUGGAGGAUUUUGCCCCAUUUUGCAUUUGACUUGGCUAAAUCAACAUCUUACCAAGAUAUGGCCAUAUGUUAAUGAGGUACAAAAGCUUAACAAGAAAUUGAUUGGUUGAAGGCUGAAGUUGAGGACACAGAAAAAAUGUUGAUAAUGAUUUAUGCGCUACUCCUGAUGCACUACAACAAAUCUGUUUGUUUUUGUGUGUACUAUGCCCCCACCUACUGUCAAUAACUCAGUCAUUCCAACACUAUCAAUAUUCAGUAAGGAUGAUACUUACACUGUUAAUAAUGUUUGACGUGAAAUUUAUUAUAGUUUACAUUGGAUACUGACACUUUAUUAUCGAAGAUGGGUCCUGGAUAUGGAUUUAAGACGAUAAUUUGUUUGAAAAAAGUAAAAACCAGUAGUUCAAAACAAGCUAAAGGUAUCAUAAUGAAAUUUCUUUGGCUUA